AAUAAAUUGGAGAUGAUUAGAGUUGGAAUAACCUUUGCAACAAUCGAUUGAAGAAGUUGGAAUAUUGGUGCAAGGAACAAAUGUUAACCUAUAUUCUUGAUUAAGUUAGAUUGUUAAAUUAUUUGAGAACUGUAAUUCCGUUUUGGAUGCGGAUGGUUGCGUUAGGUAGAUAACGUAAAUGACUAUUAUUAUUAUUCCAUGUUAUAAUAUAUUAUGAUGAAAGUUAAAUAUUGUUGUUA
rnacentral:lncRNA from 1 species